rnacentral:rRNA from 1 species
AUUGAACGCUGGCGGCAUGCCUUACACAUGCAAGUCGAACGGCAGCGCGGGAGCAAUCCUGGCGGCGAGUGGCGAACGGGUGAGUAGUGCAUCGGAACGUGCCCAGUUGUGGGGGAUAGCCCGGCGAAAGCCGGAUUAAUACCGCAUGAGACCUGAGGGUGAGGGCGGGGGAUCGAAAGACCUCGCGCGACCGGAGCGGCCGAUGUCAGAUUAGGUAGUUGGUGGGGUAAGGGCCUACCAAGCCUGCGAUCUGUAGCUGGUCUGAGAGGACGACCAGCCACACUGGGACUGAGACACGGCCCAGACUCCUACGGGAGGCAGCAGUGGGGAAUUUUGGACAAUGGGCGCAAGCCUGAUCCAGCCAUGCCGCGUGCGGGAAGAAGGCCUUCGGGUUGUAAACCGCUUUUGUCGGGGAAGAAACGGCCUGGGCUAAUACCUUGGGCUAAUGACGGUACCCGAAGAAUAAGCACCGGCUAACUACGUGCCAGCAGCCGCCGUAA